GUAGAUUUCCCCAUACAGUAGGUCCUUGUUACUUACCUAUUUUAUGUAUAGUAGUAUGUAUAUGUUAAUCCCAACCUCCUAAUUUAUCUCCCCCACCCCUAACCCCACUCCCAGCACACAUUUCCCCUUUGGUGACCAUAAGUUUGAUUUUGAAAUCUUUGAGUCUUUUUCUAUUUUCUAAGUUCUUUUGUAUCCUUUUUCUUUUUUUUUAAAAUUAGAUUCCGUAUAUUAGUGAUCUUACGAUAUUUGUCUUUCUCUGGUCAGACCUACUUCCUUUAGUAUGAUAAUUUCUAGGUCCAUCUGUGUUGCUGUAAAUAGCAUUGGUUUGUUCUUUUUUUUGUGGCUGAGUAAUAUUCCAUUGUAUAUUUGUACCACAUCUUUAUCCAUUCUUCUGUUGAUGGACAUUUAGGUUGUUUGCAUGUCUCGGCUAUUAAGACACUGUUUUUCAAAGUUACUCAAGUUAGCUUUCUUUUCUCUUACCCCUUUCGGGGUGACUAUGUCAUAUUUGUAAUAAAGUUAGAUUUAUUUGUUGGAGUUUGCAUUCCAUCCUGAGAUCCUCAGUCAUAUGGGUAGAUAUUUUAAGCUUGAAUAUAUUACAUAUAUUCUCUGAUACGGUUUUAUGGGUUUUGACAAAUUCAUAGAAUCAUUUAUCCUUCACCCCAGUACUGUACAAGAUGAUUCUUUCACCCUAAAUUUCCCCUGUUUCUUAGAUCUCCUGAAUCAAAAUUUUCGUUUUAACAAGAUUCCCAAGGAGACAUGUAGGCAUAUUCAGUUUAUAUGCAUGUAUAUGAAGCUAUUCACGUGGAAUCAUUCACUAUCUUUCCCUGUUUUGAAAUUAUAAGUUAAGUUGAAAAAAGAUGAUUUUUAUAAUGGGAUAGCCAAGUUUAAAUGUAUAAUCAGGUAAGCGUAUAUACUCAAAUUCAUGGGUUUGCAUACAGUGAGGGGAAAGAAAAUGGAGUUGGGCAGAUUACUGGAGUGAAGUAAUGGCCUAUAUGGGAAGUUUCAUGGAGCUCUUAAACCUUUGUAAUCUUAACACUGAUGAGAAAUAAUGUGAUUUGGAAAGAAAAGAACAAAUGGUUUAUUCAGAAAGAUGAUGGAGAGAAAGAUUUUUACAGAGAUUAUAUAGUCCCCCAGUAAAGAAGUGCAAGUUCCCUAUUACAAAGAAUGUGUUGGACAUCUUAGCUUUGUAGUUUUUUACGCUGAGGUUUAUUUAGUGUAAUACUGACGGUUUUGUAUGGUUUAGUCCCAGGUGGAGGAAAGAGGAAAAAAAAAAAAAAGGAAACAUAGCUUAAUAAACAUUACAUGUAUUAGAUUCCCAUGGGGGGGUGUGUAUUACCCAUGUGAAUGAACUGGUCAGAACUCUUACUAAUUUCAGAGGGAGACUGUACAAAUCUCUUGUACCAGCGUGAUGACUGAGCUAAUUGUUGUUUAUAAUUAGGAGUAUAUUAUCUAUCACUGUGAUAUGAAAUGACUGCUUAGAAGUCAAUUUUAAAUAAAUGUUAAACUGAAUUAGCAAUUUUUUUUGGUGUGGAUAUCUCAGUUACUGAGAUUAAAAUACAAACACAUGCAAAGUCCUGGCUAAAUACUACUGGCUUCUGGGAUCUACUGUCUAUGGAGCUAAAGCAUAAGGCAGAAAAAUAGUGGGGAGCUCUUUUCUUAAUGAAAACCAUUCCCAUUAGCUAUGUCACAUCUCUCCUGUUACUGCUUCUGUUUAUUUUUUUGUUUAAACAAUUUUUGAGGGUGUGGCAUGUGGUGGUUUGGUGUGGGAUCUCAGUUCCCAGGCUACGGAUUGAACCCAGGCCAGAGUGGGGAAAGCACCAAGUCUUAACCACUGGACCACCAGGGAACUCUAUUCUGUUACUCGUUGUAGAAAUAUAAUUCUUUGUCUUAAAAAAACUUAGAUGAUUGAGCAACUACAGUGUGGUGGAUAUUAUUAGAUGCUAAAAUUUUGAGAUUCUUCUCUAAAGCUUAUAAGCAAGAAAAAAAUACUAAUGGGUAAAAAAACCAUUAUUUUGCCUAUUAGUUAUAAUUAUAAAUUAUAAAUUAGAGGUUCCCAGGCUAGGGGGUCGAAUCAGAGCUGUAGCCACUGGCCUAUGCCAUAGCCACAGCAAUGUCAGGUCCAAGCUGUGUCUGUGACCUACACCACAGCUCAUGGCAAUGGAUCCUCAACCCACUGAGUGGGGCCAGGGAUCAUCCUCAUGGAUGCUAGUCAGAUUUGUUUCCACGGAGCCACGACAGGAACUCCAAGGGAUAUUAUUUUAAAAUAAAUCACUAAUAUCAUCCUAGGAAAUUAGUGGCUUUGAUUUUUAUGAAUUUUCUUUCAAUUCUUUGUAAUAUUAGUAUUUGUUUUUUUAGCUUUCUCUGAGCUUCAGUUUGUUUAUUGCUUUAUUAUAUGAAGAUGGAAGAAUUAAAUGAGUACCCAGUGUUUGGCACAUAGCACCAGUUAGUAAUCCCCAUGUCUUCCUUUUCUUAUUAAACAGUUUGUAUUGAAAAUGUUAGUAUUCCUACAGGUUCUGUUCAUACACAUUUUAUAUACUUAUGACAGUCCCAAGAACACCUGAAGCAAACAUUGGAGUAAUGCUUCUUCUUUUUCCUGUCUUUUUAGGGCUGUACCCAUGGCAUAUGGAGGUUCCCAGGCUAGGGGUCGAAUCAGAGCUGUAGCUGCCGUCCUGCGCCAUAGCCACAGCAACUCAAGAUCUGAGCCGAGUCUGCAACGUACACCACAGCUCGCAACAACUCCAGAUCCUUAACCCACUGAGCGAGGCCAGGGAUUGAACUCACAUCCUCAUGGAUACUAGUUGGGUUUGUUAAUCACUGAGCCACAACAGGAACUCCCUGAAGUAAAGAUUCUGAUCUUAAACUUGGGAGGGGGGGACAAUUCAAUUUUUUUCAUUCCAAUAGCAAUUUAUAUUGAGUUUCUAGUAUAUGUUAGGUAAUAUGCUUUAUGUCUUUUUAAAUCUUCACAGUAAUCCUUAAAUGUGUUUAUUAUUUCCACGAGGUAGAAACCUGAGUCUUAUUUAAUGGGUGUACAUGUAUAAAUAUAAUGGAAUGAAAGGGCUAGGAGGCUAGGAGCAAAUACGACAGGAUUAAUUUCAGAAACUCACAAAUGUCUGUCAAAAAUUCUUCCCAAAACUCCCUCAAAGAAGUCCUUUUGAGAGCAUUGACAAUUAAGCAUUAGUUGAUGGGGAAGAGAGCAAGGCAUAAAGUGAGAAUUUAGUGCAGUAUGCUUGUUCUUUAGAAUAGUAAAUACAGUUCUUUGUGUAUUUAUUAUUGUACUUGUCAUGCAUACUGUCCUCUUAUAGUUUAUGUUUAAAAUCAGUUUGCCUUCUAUCAGUGAAUCCUAUAACAUCUCUCCCCCCCCCCCAGUCUAAUUCAUCUAAAUUCUACCAGUUUGGGGAGGAAAAUAGAAUAAAAGUAGGGAAAUAGAAUAUAUUAGAAAGAAAAUCUUUAUAUACUUGGAGGGAAAGAAGUAAGUAAAUGGAUAUGUUAUUUAAUGGAAUUAAUAUGAAAUCCUUGAUCUAAGCCUUUGAUACAGGUAGUCUAAUUUACAUAUGAUGUUGAAGUGCACAUAGUCUUUAUUUUCUCUUCACUAGUGUUCCUGUUUUGAGAUGUCCUUUUCAUUUCUCCUCAGUACUUCUGCAGCCAGUUAAAUAUUACCUUUUUUUUUUUUUUUUUUUUUUUCUAUUUCUGAUUGUGCCUGUAGCAUGGGGGAGUUCCUGAAUCAGGGAUGGAACCCGUGCCACAGCAGCAACCCGAGCAGCAGCAGUGAUAAUGCCAGAUCCUCACCUGCUGUGCUGCAAGGGAACUCUGGUAUUACUUUCUUAGACUUUUUUAUCUAUUCCAAGAUUUAUCAACAACAGAAGGCUGUUGGUCAUGAUUUUUAAAAAGUAUGUUUUCCCCUGUAAUAGAGAAGAAUCUUUGUUUAUUCACUUGAGAAUACAUCAUUCUCAUGUACCUGACAUAGGCAUUAGUGUUUUCUUUAGUUCGAAGGACUGGUUAAAGUGGAGAAUUGAGUACAGAGAAAGGAGAUGUUGCUGGGCUAAGGUAGCAUAGACUCUCACUCGAAGCACUUCCUACCCCUACACAUGAGAAUGCUAGAUAAUAUAGAGCAAAGGGAAUAAAAGGUAGAUGGACAGCUGAACUUUAGAGAAAACUUCCAUGUGCCAGGAACAGAAGGGAACUUGAAGUCAGAGCAGUAAUAAACAGUAAGCUCUGAGCAAACAUGGUAAUACAAAGGAUGUUUGGAAGGCCAUCCCAACAGGCUGCUGGGGUUGGGAUUGGAAUUUAUUAUAUGACUACAGAAUUAAGUCCCCUUAAAGCUGGAACCUUAGAAGGGUUGCCUUCUCAGAAAAUGGUCUGUAAAAACUUCCUGUGUGUGCUUUCAAGGAUUUUGUUGUUGGUUGUUGUUGUUAAGAGGGUAAAAUGGAGUUUAGUAUCAAAAUAUUUUGAAAGCUAAAAAUUUUGUCUUAAUUGGAGUAUAAAUGAAAAAGUGGCCAUAGGGGCCAAACAGUUAACAUAAAUGAAUGAAACUGUCUAAGUAUAAGACUUAUUUAGAGGAGGGAACUGAUGAACUAGAGAUCAUAUCCUUCACAAAAAGAAACUAGUGCUACUUAGAUAUGGACAUUUGUGACUGUGUGGAAAAUGGCCUAGUGUUUUUAAAAUUAUUCCUCCCAAAACAAUUUUAAAUUAGAUGACUUGGAAGAAAAAUCCAAAAGAAGUAGAGAUAGUGGAGUUCCCGUUAUGGCUCAGUGGUUAACAAAUCCUACCGGUAUCUGUGAGGACGAGGGUUCCAUCCAUGGCCUGCGCAGUAGGUUAAAGAUCCAGCAUUGCCACAGGAUCACUGCUGUGGCACAGUUUUGAUCCCUGGCUUAGAACUUUUGUGUGCCAUGGCACAGCCAAAAAACCACAAACGAAAACAAACAAAAUCACUCCAACGCUUAUACUAGCUCAUGUUAAGCAUGCGCUAAGUGCCAGAUACUGAGCUAGGUGUCUGUUGUAAUCUGGGGGAGGAGGUCUAGAACUAGGGAAGAGGGUGGGAUAAUGAUUAACAUGUUUUCCAGGGAAGGCAAACUGCUUUAUACCAAGGCUUUGAGUAAGAAAACAUGGCAAAUUCAAGGGCUAAAGGAAGUCACUGAGGCUAGGGUCAGAAGAGAGAGGAGGGUGGUUUUAAGAUAAAUUGGAGAGGUAGGCAGAGAUCAGAUUUUGGGUCAUUUUAUCCCAAGAAAAAAGGUAAGCCAUUAAACUGCUCAAAGUGCCGGCUUUCCAGAAUAUAGCAGAUGAGGGUGUAUAGUCGAAAAGUUGGAGAGGGAUGGUCAUUUUGAUGUAGGUUAGAGUUUGCAAAGCAUUUCUUUAUGCUAAUCAUAGAUACAGAAUCAUACAUUUAAGUUAUUUGGAAUUCAUGGGGAAAUAAACCAUUGAUGAUAGUUGCACUAAAGCUUCUAAAAACUUAACCUGAAAAAAAGUUUAAAAAUGGAUUUAGGAGUUCCCGUCGUGGCGCAGAGGUUAACAAAUCCAACUAGGAACCGUGAGGUUGCGGGUUUGAUCCCUGCCCUUCCUCAGUGGGUUAAGGAUCCGGCAUUGCCGUGAGCUGUGGUGUAGGUUGCAGAUGCGGCUUGGAUCCCGACUUGGAUCCCGCGUUGCUGUGGCUCUGGUGUAGGUUGGUGGCUACAGCUCCAAUUAGACCCCUAGCCUGGGAAUUUCCAUAUGCCGCCGAAGUGGCGCUCGAAAAAGGCAAAAAGACAAAAAAAAAAAAAAAA
rnacentral:lncRNA from 1 species